rnacentral:rRNA from 1 species
UUUUAAAUUGCUGUGGUAUUUUGACUAUACAAAGGUAUUGUAAUAAGACUUUAAUUGAGUGCUAAAAGAAUGGAAUUACAAAAAAAGGCUUUUUUAAUUUUAAAAAUUAAAAUUAUUUUUUUUUGUGAAGAAACAAAAAUUUAAAUUAAAGACAAGAAGACCCUAAGAAUUUUUUUUUUUAUUAAAAUAAUAUUUUAUUUUAAAAAUUUAAUUGGGGCGAUUAAUUAAUAUUAAAAACUUUAUUAAUAAAAAAAAUGAUCCAUUAUUAAUGAUUAUUUGAUUAAAAUACUCUAGGGAUAACAGCGUAAUAAUUUUUGAUAGUUCUUAUAGAAAAAAUAGUUUGCGACCUCGAUGUUGGAUUAGGAUUCUUUUUUAAUGAAGAAGUUAAAAAAAGAAGUUUGUUCAACUUUUAAAUUCCUACUUGAUCUG